UAGCGUUGCUUUUUCAUCCUCAAAUUAUUCGUAUACAGUUCCUCUUUUCUUCUUCGUCUCCUUCCUUUUCCCUUCAAUCGUUUUCUUAUUCACCAAAAACCACACCAGAUUUCUCUCUAUUCGAUUUUCUGUACUCGUUUCUGCUGGGGUAAUUUUCUGUUGAGAGUUCUUAUUCGAAUUUUCAGGAAUAGUUCUUGUGCAGCUAAUGAUUUUUGGGAUCCGGUGAAUUGCAUUUCUGAAUUCGGACCAUGUUAAACGAGAGUAUUCCUAAUAGUCCGUCGACUCCAGGUGCCCGGACUCGGCAUCGCAGGCGCCCAAGCGAUGGAACUUCGGAGGAUAGCAAGCAAAGUGAAAAAAAUUUACUAGUUAAUGACAGGAGUAAAUACAAGUCGAUGUUGAUCCGUGCAUACUCAACAAUUUGGAUGAUUGGGGGUUUUGCAUUAAUUAUAUACUUUGGCCAUCUCUAUAUUACUGCCAUGGUUGUGGUUAUUCAAGUUUUCAUGGCGAAGGAACUGUUCAACCUACUCAGGCGAGCUCGUGAGGAUACCCGUCUACCAGGGUUUCGACUAUUAAAUUGGCACUUCUUCUUCACAGCAAUGCUAUUCGUGUAUGGUCGCAUUUUAAGUCAGCGACUUGUUAAUACUGUCACAUCAGAUAAAUUUUUAUAUCAGCCAGUGAGCAGCCUCAUCAAGUAUCAUAUGGUUAUUUGUUAUUCCUUAUAUAUUGCAGGUUUUAUGUGGUUCAUUCUUACUUUAAAGAAGAAGAUGUACAAAUAUCAAUUUGGCCAGUAUGCAUGGACGCAUAUGAUUCUAAUCGUUGUUUUUACGCAGUCCUCUUUUACGGUAGCCAAUAUUUUUGAAGGAAUCAUCUGGUUUCUUCUGCCAGCGUCACUAAUUGUUAUCAAUGACAUUGCUGCCUAUAUAUUUGGUUUCUUCUUUGGAAGAACACCAUUGAUCAAGUUAUCUCCAAAGAAAACUUGGGAGGGAUUUAUUGGAGCCUCUAUUAUGACUAUCAUUUCUGCCUUUUUUCUAGCUAAUGUCAUGGGUCGUUAUCAGUGGCUUACUUGUCCAAGAACGGAUUUAUCAACUGGUUGGCUUCACUGUGAUCCCGGUCCUUUGUUUAAGCCCGAUUAUUUCACUUUACCAGGGUGGAUUCCCGAUUGGUUCCCAUGGAAGAAAAUAAGCAUAUUGCCAGUUCAAGGACAUGCAUUAUGCCUUGGUUUAUUUGCAUCAAUAAUUGCUCCUUUUGGAGGUUUCUUUGCAAGUGGUUUCAAAAGAGCUUUCAAAGUCAAGGAUUUUGGUGAUAGCAUUCCUGGACAUGGUGGAAUUACAGAUAGAAUGGAUUGCCAGUUCUGGAAAGUUGGAGUACAGGUCCACAUACUACGUCCUCUAUCGAGUGGGAGGUUCUAGCUGUUUUGAAAAUGGUGAUGGCUGUCUUUGCCUACAUAUAUCAUCAAUCCUUUGUCGUGGCACAGAACAUAUCUGUUGACACAAUCUUAGAUCAGAUAUUAAUGAAUCUGACAAUUGAGGAACAAGCAACUCUUUACAUGAAGCUUGGGCAAAUCUUGCAACAACGGAUGGUUGGCUAGAAUCUGAUUCUUUUAUCCUCUCUUCGGACAUUGUACCUUUGUGAAAUGAAUGAAAAUAUCAUGUAAUAUUUAUUCUUCUUGUUUA